rnacentral:rRNA from 1 species
AUUGAACGCUGGCGGCAGGCCUAACACAUGCAAGUCGAACGGUAACAGGAAGCAGCUUGCUGCUUUGCUGACGAGUGGCGGACGGGUGAGUAAUGUCUGGGAAACUGCCUGAUGGAGGGGGAUAACUACUGGAAACGGUAGCUAAUACCGCAUAACGUCGCAAGACCAAAGAGGGGGACCUUCGGGCCUCUUGCCAUCGGAUGUGCCCUGAUGGGAUUAGCUAGUAGGUGGGGUAACGGCUCACCUAGGCGACGAUCCCUAGCUGGUCUGAGAGGAUGACCAGCCACACUGGAACUGAGACACGGUCCAGACUCCUACGGGAGGCAGCAGUGGGGAAUAUUGCACAAUGGGCGCAAGCCUGAUGCAGCCAUGCCGCGUGUAUGAAGAAGGCCUUCGGGUUGUAAAGUACUUUCAGCGGGGAGGAAGGGAGUAAAGUUAAUACCUUUGCUCAUUGACGUUACCCGCAGAAGAAGCACCGGCUAACUCCGUG